AGGAAUGAAACGAUGUUUUUAAAAGAAGAAAGAAAGUACAAUCCUACGAAAGAAAAACCCAGAGACUUCCUUGGUUCAAAAUGGCCAGAGACAAUGCUGGAACAGCGAGAUGCAAAAAAAUCCUGAGCCUUCAAAGCCAGAUCGUGCAGAAGAGAAAGGGCCUGUCAGCUGAGCUGGAUGCUUCAGGAGCAGAGGAUCUAUCAACUGCAGACCAAGCAUGGGAGACGCAGGCAGACCUGGAACAGAAACCCAGCCCGCUCCAGCCGCUCCGACAGAACUUGGUAGCUGGAUGGUCUGCAGCAGGACACAUGCCACGGGGCAGGAAAUGACCCAAUCCUCAAGGUCUGUGAAGGCUGGAGACAGUAAGGAGAGGGAGCUCAGGAAAUGAAGCCAGGAAGUGCCAACGUUGCUGCAAAUGGUCUAGCAUCAGUCCAAUGCCUGCUCCAGCUGAGGCUGCACGUCUUGUGACAGGUGGUUAUUAUGCCUGAGGUUUGGAGUGAACGGUAGAGCACUGGCCUAGGGGUGGAGAUAAAGAAAAUAGAUAAGAAAGAGAGACGUGAGAGGACAGACUCUCUGCACAGGCUUCUCAUUGUGGUGGCUUCUCUUGUUGUGGAGCACAGGCUCUAGGCACGCGGCUUCAGUAAUUGCAGCACGCGGGCUCCACAGUUGUUGCUCACAGACUUAGUUGCUCUGCCACAGGUGUAAUAUUCACGGACCAGGUAUUGAACCUGUGUCCCCUGCAUUGGCAGGUGGAUUCUCAUCCACUGAGCCACCAGGGAAGUCCUAAACCUUCUGUUGAUACAACGAAUACUUUCACUGGGACAACAAGCGUAAAGUGGGUCUAUCCCAGACUGAUUGGAAUAUGUAAUCAUCCUACUCACAACCCAUUUCAAAAACUUUUUUGUUCAUGUAGCACUGUGGUUAAAGUGCAGACUCUGGAGCCAGACCCACUAAGUUCAAAUCCCAGUUC